rnacentral:rRNA from 1 species
GACGAACGCUGGCGGCGUGCUUAACACAUGCAAGUCGAACGGUGAACGAGGGAGCUUGCUCCCUCCGGAUCAGUGGCGAACGGGUGAGUAACACGUGAGCAAUCUGCCCCGAACUCUGGGAUAAGCGUUGGAAACGACGUCUAAUACCGGAUACGACGCGGGAGGGCAUCCUCUCCGCGUGGAAAGAACUUCGGUUCGGGAUGAGCUCGCGGCCUAUCAGCUUGUUGGUGAGGUAACGGCUCACCAAGGCGACGACGGGUAGCCGGCCUGAGAGGGUGACCGGCCACACUGGGACUGAGACACGGCCCAGACUCCUACGGGAGGCAGCAGUGGGGAAUAUUGCACAAUGGGCGCAAGCCUGAUGCAGCAACGCCGCGUGAGGGACGACGGCCUUCGGGUUGUAAACCUCUUUUAGCAGGGAAGAAGCGAAAGCGACGGUACCUGCAGAAAAAGCACCGGCUAACUACGUG